GUCUGUUGCUGUUUGUCUCUUCUUCCUUCCUUCCUUCCUUUCUUCCUUCCUUCCUUCCUUCCUUCCUUCCUUCCUUCUUUCUUCCUUUCUUUCUGUCUGUCUCCAGAGAAAGAAUUUCUCUGGUCAAUAAGCCACUAACCCGAGGCUGGAGAGAUGGCUCAGUGGGUAAAGCGCUGAGGUGUAAGAUGAGGACAGGAGUUGGGAUCCCCAGAACCCAUGCAAAAAGCAAAGUGGUCAUGGCGGCUGCCUGCAAUCCCAGUUCAUGGGAGGUGGAGACAGAAGCCUUAGGGUCCCAUGUGACCACUGGGGACUUAGCAAGGACGCCAUGUUCCCUUGUUGUUUCUGGAUGCAUUUCACCUUUCCCCUGUCCUUAUGAAACCACCACCACACAGAAGACAGAACUGGCAACAGGGCCCUGGUCCGCGGCUUGGUAUUAGAAGAUUAUUGUAGCUGGAGUGGAAGGCAGCAUCAGGAGCCAGGAGGAGACCUGCUGGGUUGGAGCGUCCAAAGAGAAGGCUGGAGAGCCAACCCUCCUUCCAUUCCUCUUUCUCUUCCUGGCCAAUGUCUAAAGUGCAUAAAUCAGUUGUGCCAAAAUUAGGAGAGAACGUUUAUGCUUUAUUACCACACAGCCACACAGCAACAACUUUGCAGGUGAUUAAAUAUGCAUCCGAUGAACUUUGCUGUAAGCUUGACUUAAU